UAUCAUCCUAUUCAUCUCUGU
rnacentral:piRNA from 1 species